CACACGCUCGCUCGAGUGCGUUCGGUAAAGAGUUCGCGCCCAAAACGGGCUGGCCCGAAACGACAGCCUAGACAAACUGUGUGCGCGGCAAACGUCCGUACACACAUACACCUUAAAAUGAAGUAGCUCAGGUCACGGUACGAGUACGGUGAACCUAAUCCAACAGUUACAAAACGGACCGCACACCGGGUGACGGAACCUUUUUGGCCCGAGCAUCAUGCUUUAUGCUGUUGCCCUAGCCUUACCCGUAUAUUACCGUCCAUUUUUCAUUCGCCAACCUUUCGCUAUGGAGUUUACCGGUGUGACAUCUGAGCCACAUACAGCAUUAGAACUUCCCAAAUGCGCCAGGCUACCCGUGUGCUUCGCGCUAUUACGUAUGCUUCGAUGGUCUAAACCCCGAACAAGGAUAAGCCUGGCGGAUGGAAAACUUUUGCAGCCAACCCUCAAAAUUGCACAAAACUCACCUUCUGCCUCAUCUAUCAUCUAGCGAGGGGGGAAGGCGAGCCGAACGAGCACCGGUACACGAGGAUUUUCAUCUUGUCAAUUUAAUAAAGCACAAACUUUCUCCCAUUCCUACGUA